rnacentral:misc_RNA from 1 species
GUGAAUCAUCAAAUCUUUGAACGCAAAUUGCACUCUCUGCUACUCCGGAGAGUAUUCGUGGUUGAGGGUCAGUUUAAAUAAAAAUCGGUGUGGUUGCUGCCUUUCGUGGUGACGCACCGGAUUUGGGUCGUCUUGCCUUCGGGUAAGUGACCUAAAAUUUUGCAUGAUUUUUUUCGAACGUAUUUAAAUGAUUUUACGUUCGUUUUGGAUAUCGAAUACUAGUCGUGUUCAUUCUCAU